rnacentral:rRNA from 1 species
UACAGAGGCCUCGAGCGUUAGGCGGAAUCACUGGGCUUAAAGCGUGUGUAGGCGGACUUCUAAGUGCCUUGUGAAAUCCCACGGCUCACCCGUGGAACGGCUGGGCAUACUGGGAGUCUUGAGCCACCUAGGGGCUGCCGGAACAAAUGGUGGAGCGGUGAAAUGCGUAGAUAUCAUUUGGAACGCCAAUGGUGAAAACAGGUAGCUGGGGCUGUACUGACACUGAGACACGAAAGCCAGGGGAGCAAACGGG